UUGUAAGUGAGAAAUGUGUACUAUGAAUAAAUCAUCCCUGCUCAGCAAGCAGGUUCUUGCUCUACCUGCCUGGUCCGGGCUACAGGAUCCGCAACCCAGCCACUAGACACCCAGCCUCUGACCCCUGCUUUCUUCUGCCCACCCAGGAGAACCCAUACGUCAUGCGCCGGCCCAACUUCCAGGCCCUGUCGGGGAAUGAACGCUUCGAGGGCUUCUGCGUGGACAUGCUGCGGGAGCUGGCCGAGCUGCUGCGCUUCCGCUACCGCCUGCGGUUGGUGGAGGAUGGGCUGUACGGGGCGCCCGAGCCCAACGGCUCCUGGACGGGCAUGGUUGGCGAGCUCAUCAACCGGAAGGCAGACCUGGCUGUGGCCGCCUUCACCAUCACAGCUGAGCGGGAGAAGGUCAUCGACUUUUCCAAGCCCUUUAUGACCCUGGGGAUCAGCAUCCUCUACCGAGUGCACAUGGGCCGCAAGCCUGGCUACUUCUCCUUCCUGGACCCCUUCUCCCCUGCUGUGUGGCUCUUCAUGCUUCUUGCCUACCUGGCUGUCAGCUGCGUCCUGUUUCUGGCUGCCAGGCUGAGCCCCUACGAGUGGUAUAACCCGCACCCGUGCCUGCGGGCACGCCCCCACAUCCUGGAGAACCAGUAUACGCUGGGCAACAGCCUGUGGUUUCCCGUGGGGGGCUUCAUGCAGCAGGGCUCGGAGAUCAUGCCCCGGGCGCUGUCCACGCGCUGUGUCAGCGGAGUCUGGUGGGCCUUCACCUUGAUCAUCAUCUCCUCCUACACGGCCAACCUGGCCGCCUUCCUCACCGUGCAGCGCAUGGAGGUGCCUGUGGAGUCGGCCGAUGACCUGGCAGAUCAGACCAACAUCGAGUAUGGCACCAUCCACGCUGGCUCCACCAUGACCUUCUUCCAGAAUUCACGGUACCAAACGUACCAGCGCAUGUGGAACUACAUGCAGUCGAAGCAGCCCAGCGUGUUUGUCAAGAGCACAGAAGAGGGCAUUGCCCGCGUCCUCAACUCCCGCUACGCCUUCCUGCUUGAGUCCACCAUGAACGAGUACCACCGGCGCCUCAACUGCAACCUCACCCAGAUCGGGGGACUCCUUGACACCAAGGGCUACGGCAUCGGCAUGCCGCUGGGCUCCCCAUUCCGGGAUGAGAUCACACUGGCCAUCCUGCAGCUUCAGGAGAACAACCGGCUGGAGAUCCUGAAGCGCAAGUGGUGGGAGGGGGGCCGGUGCCCCAAGGAGGAGGACCAUCGAGCUAAAGGUUUGGGCAUGGAGAACAUUGGCGGCAUUUUUGUCGUGCUCAUCUGUGGCCUCAUCAUUGCUGUCUUCGUGGCAGUCAUGGAAUUCAUAUGGUCCACACGGAGGUCAGCUGAGUCCGAGGAGGUGUCGGUGUGCCAGGAGAUGCUGCAGGAGCUGCGCCACGCCGUUUCUUGCCGCAAGACGUCGCGUUCCCGCCGGCGCCGACGCCCGGGUGGCCCGAGCCGGGCCCUGCUGUCACUGCGCGCGGUCCGCGAGAUGCGCCUCAGCAACGGCAAGCUCUACUCGGCCGGCGCGGGCGGGGAUGCGGGCGGCGCGCACGGGGGCCCGCAGCGCCUCCUGGACGACCCGGGGCCCCCCAGCGGAGCCCGACCCGCCGUCCCCACCCCCUGCACCCACGUGCGCGUCUGCCAGGAGUGCCGGCGCAUCCAGGCGCUGCGGGCCUCGGGGGCCGGCGCGCCUCCGCGUGGCCUGGGCGCCCCCGCCGAAGCCACCAGCCCGCCCCGGCCGCGGCCUGGCCCCGCCGGCCCCCGGGAGCUGGCGGAGCACGAGUGACCACGGGCGGGGCUGUGCGGGCGCCCGGACUGACAGCAGGGACGGGGCCCGCCCCAGGGCCCAACAGUCCCCGCUCCCGCAGCGGGCGCGGGACAGGACUUGUGCGCCGGCGCCCCGGACGCCGCGAUUUUGCCUUUGGUUCCCGGUGAAGUCCCAGGCCCGGCUCUGGAGCCCGCCUGCGCCCCCCAGUGGACUCGCGAGAGGGUGCCGCGGGCGAGAAGGGCGCAGGAACCGAGGACUCCAGGGGCUGGCGACUUCGGGGGCCGCUCUGGGAAGCGGAAAGCAGUCAGCGGAGAGGACCCCAUUCUGGGACUGCUCAGGCUCCCCAAGACUUGACGCAGCCCCCCACGCUUCUGGAGGUGGGGAGGGCCUCUGGACAGAUGGGUGUCCCCUGGUGCCCCUCCACUCUUCUCUUCCUCUCUUUUUUGGGGGGAGAAACCUCGGAAUUUCUAUGAGACCUCCCCCAGGGAGGGGGUCAAUUGGGCCCCCAUCCCUCCCCUUGCCACAUCUCAGCCCCUGUUGGAAUAAAAAAAAGAACAAAACCCCAGAA
rnacentral:sRNA from 1 species